UAAAGUGGCGAACGGCUGAGUAACACGUGGGCAACCUGCCCUUUGCACUGGGAUAGCCUCGGGAAACCGAGGUUAAUACCGGAUACUCCAUAUUUGUCGCAUGGCGAAUAUGGGAAAGCUCCGGCGGCAAAGGAUGGGCCCGUGGCCUGUUAGCUAGUUGGUGGGGUAGUGGCCUACCAAGGCAAUGAUGGGUAGCCGGGUUGAGAGACCGACCGGCCAGAUUGGGACUGAGACACGGCCCAGACUCCUACGGGAGGCAGCAGCC
rnacentral:rRNA from 1 species